ensembl:lncRNA
UCCCACCAGGUUACUGUUCCCACUAUGUUACUGUUCCCACCAGGUUACUGUUCCCACCAGGUUACUGUUCCCACCAGGUUACUGUUCCCACUAUGUUACUGUUCCCACCAGGUUACUGUUCCCACCAGGUUACUGUUCCCACCAGGUUACUGUUCCCACUAUGUUACUGUUCCCACCAGGUUACUGUUCCCACUAUGUUACUGUUCCCACUAUGUUACUGUUCCCACUAUGUUACUGUUCCCACUAUGGUACUGUUCCCACCAGGUUACUGUUCCCACUAUGUUACUGUUCUCACCAGGUUACUGUUCCCACUAUGUUACUGUUCUCACCAGGUUACUGUUCCCACUAUGUUACUGUUCCCACCAGGUUACUGUUCCCACUAUGUUACUGUUCUCACCAGGUUACUGUUCCCACCAUGUUACUGUUCCCACUAUGUUACUGUUCCCACUAUGUUACUGUUCCCACCAUGUUACUGUUCCCACUAUGUUACUGUUCCCACCAUGUUACUGUUCCCACUAUGUUACUGUUCCACUAUGUUACUGUUCCCACCAG